CCAAGGGUUUGGCCAAGUGGUCUUGGCCUGGGACUUAGGAUCCUAAGAUCUCAGGUUCGAUUAUCCUGGCCAACAACUCUUGGG